rnacentral:rRNA from 1 species
AUUGAACGCUAGCGGGAUGCUUUACACAUGCAAGUCGAACGAGCGGCGGACGGGUGAGUAAUAUCUCGGAACGUGCCCAGUAGCGGGGGAUAACUACUGGAAAGAGUGGCUAAUACCGCAUACCAUCAGAUGGGCCGAUAUCGGAUUAGCUAGUAGGUGGGGUAAAGGCUCACCAAGGCAACGAUCCGUAGCUGGUUUGAGAGGAUGACCAGCCACACUGGGAAUGAGACACGGCCCAGACUCCUACGGGAGGCAGCAGUGGGGAAUUUUGGACAAUGGGGGAAACCCUGCUCCAGCCAUCCCGCGUGUAUGAGAAGGCCUUCGGGUUGUAAAGUACUUUUGGCCGGGAAGCGGUAUCUGCAGAAUAAGCACCGGCCAACUACGUGCCAGCAGCCGCGGUAAUUC